rnacentral:rRNA from 1 species
UCCUACGGGAGGCAGCAGUGGGGAAUAUUGCACAAUGGGCGCAAGCCUGAUGCAGCCAUGCCGCGUGUAUGAAGAAGGCCUUCGGGUUGUAAAGCACUUUCAGUAGUGAGGAAGGUGGUGUCGUUAAUAGCGGUAUCAUUUGACGUUAGCUACAGAAGAAGCACCGGCUAACUCCGUGCCAGCAGCCGCGGUAAUACGGAGGGUGCGAGCGUUAAUCGGAAUUACUGGGCGUAAAGCGCAUGCAGGUGGUUUGUUAAGUCAGAUGUGAAAGCCCGGGGCUCAACCUCGGAAUUGCAUUUGAAACUGACAAACUAGAGUACUGUAGAGGGGGGUAGAAUUUCAGGUGUAGCGGUGAAAUGCGUAGAGAUCUGAAGGAAUACCGGUGGCGAAGGCGGCCCCCUGGACAGAUACUGACACUCAGAUGCGAAAGCGUGGGGAGCAAACAGGAUUAGAUACCCUGGUAGUCCACGCCGUAAACGAUGUCUACUUGGAGGUUGUGCCCUUGAGCCGUGGCUUUCGGAGCUAACGCGUUAAGUAGACCGCCUGGGGAGUACGGUCGCAAGAUUAAAACUCAAAUGAAUUGACGGGGGCCCGCACAAGCGGUGGAGCAUG